rnacentral:rRNA from 1 species
CCUACGGGUGGCAGCAGUGAGGAAUAUUUGUCAAUGGACGAGAGUCUGAACCAGCCAAGUAGCGUGAAGGAUGACUGCCCUAUGGGUUGUAAACUUCUUUUAUAUGGGAAUAAAAUGUUCCACGUGUGGGAUUUUGUAUGUACCCUAUGAAUAAGGAUCGGCUAACUCCGUGCCAGCAGCCGCGGUAAUACGGAGGAUCCGAGCGUUAUCCGGAUUUAUUGGGUUUAAAGGGAGCGUAGGUGGAUUGUUAAGUCAGUUGUGAAAGUUUGCGGCUCAACCGUAAAAUUGCAGUUGAAACUGGCAGUCUUGAGUACAGUAGAGGUGGGCGGAAUUCGUGGUGUAGCGGUGAAAUGCUUAGAUAUCACGAAGAACUCCGAUUGCGAAGGCAGUUCACUGGACUGCAACUGACACUGAGGCUCGAAAGUGUGGGUAUCAAACAGGAUUAGAUACCCUUGUAGUC